rnacentral:rRNA from 1 species
UACGAGGGGGGCGAGCGUUGUUCGGAAUUAUUGGGCGUAAAGGGCGCGUAGGCGGUCGGAUAAGUCUUGUGUGAAAUCUUCGGGCUCAACUCGAAGUCCGCACAGGAAACUAUCUGGCUUGAGUGUGGGAGAGGUGAGUGGAAUUCCUGGUGUAGCGGUGAAAUGCGUAGAUAUCAGGAGGAACACCUGUGGCGAAAGCGGCUCACUGGACCACAACUGACGCUGAGGCGCGAAAGCUAGGGGAGCAAACAGG